rnacentral:rRNA from 1 species
AACGAACGCUGGCGGCAUGCCUAACACAUGCAAGUCGAACGAGACCUUCGGGUCUAGUGGCGCACGGGUGCGUAACGCGUGGGAACCUGCCUUUAGGUUCGGAAUAACUCAGAGAAAUUUGAGCUAAUACCGGAUGAUGUCUUCGGACCAAAGAUUUAUCGCCUUUAGAUGGGCCCGCGUUGGAUUAGCUAGUUGGUGGGGUAAAGGCCUACCAAGGCGACGAUCCAUAGCUGGUCUGAGAGGAUGAUCAGCCACACUGGGACUGAGACACGGCCCAGACUCCUACGGGAGGCAGCAGUGGGGAAUAUUGGACAAUGGGCGAAAGCCUGAUACAGCAAUGCCGCGGGAGUGAUGAAGGCCUUAGGGUUGUAAAGCUCUUUUACCCGAGAUGAUAAUGACAGUAUCGGGAGAAUAAGCUCCGGCUAACUCCGUG